CCCGCUGAACUUAAGCAUAUCAGUAAGCGGAGGAAAAGAAAAUAACAAUGAUUACCUCAGUAGCGGCGAGUGAAGAGGUAUUAGCCCAAGAUGUUAAUCCGUAGUAAAGCUAUGGAAUUGUAAUCUAAAGAAUUUCUCAGAAGGAGAGGCUUGUCAUAAGUUCUUUGGAACAAGACACCAUAGAGGGUGAAAGUCCCGUCUUUGGAUAAGCCGAACCGUAUGAGGAGUUUCUAAGAGUCGGGUAGUUUGGGAAUGCUGCCCUAAGUUGGAGAUAAACUUCUCCUAAGGCUAAAUAUAAGAUAGGAGACCGAUAGCAUACAAGUACUGCGAAGGAAAGAUGAAAAGAACUUUGAAAAGAGGGUUAAAAGACUUGAAAUCGUUGAAAAGGAAGCAGUAAAAGAGAAAUUAUAGUCUACGAAUUAACUUAUUAAUCUAAACAACACGGUGGAGAAUACUUCAUAGGGUUCUUGCUGGAUUGUGAACAUUAAUAGGGUUUCGUAGAUGAAAGACAAAAUGGCAUUUUUAUCUAAUAAUAAGGUUAGAAGUGUAUUCUUCGACCAAAAAUUACAUAGAAGUGUGAGGGAUUAAUUAAUGAUUUUGUCAAAAUGGCUUUUACUGACCCGUCUUGAAACACGG
rnacentral:rRNA from 1 species